rnacentral:tRNA from 1 species
GGUGAGAUGGCCGAGUGGUCUAAGGCGGCAGGUUUAGGCCCUGUUCUCGCAAGAGGCGUGGGUUCGAAUCCCACUCUCAUCA